AGAGGUUCACCUGCCUCUGCCUCCUGCGUGCUAGGAUUAAAGAACACAAAAUCUCUGAUGGCUUCCGAUCUGCUGGAUCUGCCCAGGACAUCCAGAGACCACCAGGCCAAUGAGACGUCUGCAAGCAGAUGACAAAUCCUUCAGGAGGAGAUGUCCCAGGCGGGGAAGAGUGAACUGAUAACUUGGGAGAGACAUCAGGACCUCAGCUCAUCAGGCUGAGACUCGGGGGAAACAAGGGCCAACCCAAAACGAUGCUGUUACGUGGUGAUGACCGUGGGUCAUGACGAUUCUUGCCAAGGCGGGGUUCAAAUGUCUUUUGUCAGGGGGGGAUAAAAGACACAGCUGUGACAGGAGACCUCACAGCUGAGAUAUGAGAUUGUUUUGUCAUGCCGAGCAUUGUUAGAGUGCUUCGUACGGAAUGGGCUGUGUCACGUCCAUUUUGCUCGCAGCAAAAAAUAUUAGCAGAAAUCAAUCAAGAGAUGGGUAAACCUCGGCCCUCUGUUAGCUAACCUUAUAAUUCUCCUAUGCUCGGAUAUAUUAGUUAAACUAACUAAAAAGGCUGUGCCUUCAA
rnacentral:sRNA from 1 species